CCCUAUUGGGAUGCUAAACGAAACAUACGGUUUCUCAUUCUCCCUUGCCAUUACUGUGAGCAAACUCUCUUCCAUAGGAGAGAAUACUAAAUCUAAUCGAUCUUCUUCAAUCUUCCACUACUCUAUCACUGUAGGAGCUCUCACUCUGUAUUGGGAAUUUGAUUCCAUCUUCGAGUUGAUCUCUCUGUCACCGGAAAAAGCUCUCACUCUGUAUUAGGGAUUUGAUUCAAUCUUCCACUCGAUCUCUCUAUCACUUGUAGGAGCUCUUACUCUGUAUUGGGGAUUUUAUUCAAUCUUCCACUCUAUAUCUCUAUCACUGGUAGGAAGUCUCACUCUGUAUUGGGGAUUUGAUGCGGAUUUUGACGUUCAAUAAGUUGUUUAGGGUUUAUUAAUUUAAGGGAAAUUUUGGAGAGAAAUGUUGGCAUUGGUUGGGUCAAGAGGAGGAGGAGAUGCAUCAUCAACUAAUAUGGAGAAGGAUUCUACCUCUCUAAAAUCUGUGAGCGAGCAAUAGAGUUCCAUUGAAAUCCAUUCAAGCCUAAGCAUAUCAGGUUUUUAAAUUUCAAUCAAUUUUAUUUUUAUUUUUUUAAUAUUUGUUCAAUUUUCUUAAAAACAUUUGAUGUAUUUUUUCUCUUGUUUUGAAUGUAAUCUAGGGUUUAUUAUUGGUGGAUGAAGCAAACUAUUCAACUUUUACUUCACGAGCAUUCUAGCAGGACAAGUAUCUUAUAUUUGUUGAUUUUUUUUUCCUUCAUAUUUUCUUCAAAUAUCGUCUAAUAAUCUGUAUUUUUUAUUUUUAUUUUCGUUGAAUAUCAUGUAUAUGUAUUCUUUUAAUUUGAUUUCCAUAAUUGAAGAUAGAUUGAGGAUUAGAAUUCUUUAGGUGAAAGUUUAUUGUACGCAUACAUAGUGUUUGAGAAAUUGUCUCAAUGGAAAUUUAUGUACUUUUUUAUUUUUCGUUCAUUUUUUAUUAUUGUUUAUAGUCUUAAUUGUGCAAUGGAAGUGUUUCAAUUGGAAAAAUCCAAGCUUGUGGUUUUAGAAUCACAUUUCAUUCUAUCAGUUUCGUUUUUUCUGGUAGCAAUUUCUAGUUGAUUGACUCGAAAACAUCUGCCAUACAUUGAGAUCACGUAAGGGCAUGAGGGAACUUGACGAGAAGAAUUCAGAAACAAAGGUAAAGUGGGAGGAUAACACAACUAGAUCAAAAUGGGUUAUUGUCAAUCACGCUACUUUCUUAGUUAUUUUUCAAAGGUUAUUAGCAGCCCUUGUUCCUCAGAAAGUAAUAUGAUUUUUGGAUGGGCUCAUGCUACGAGACUUCAAGCUCUUUUUGUUUAAGAUGGUUUAAGUAGUGUAUGUCCAGGUCUCUAAACUCUUUUUUUAGGAAUCUAUAGCACAUUUUUGUCUAAGAUCUUGAAACAUUUUAUUUAAGAUACUAGCUUGUUUUGGUCCAAAUUAUUAGAAUUGAAAUUGUUUUAGUUGUGAA